UACGAAGGGGGCUAGCGUUGUUCGGAAUCACUGGGCGUAAAGGGCGCGUAGGCGGCUGUUCAAGUCGGGGGUGAAAGCCUGUGGCUCAACCACAGAAUUGCCUUCGAUACUGUACGGCUCGAGACCGGAAGAGGUGAGUGGAACUGCGAGUGUAGAGGUGAAAUUCGUAGAUAUUCGCAAGAACACCAGUGGCGAAGGCGGCUCACUGGUCCGGUUCUGACGCUGAGGCGCGAAAGCGUGGGGAGCAAACAGG
rnacentral:rRNA from 1 species